AACGCACAUUGCGCCCCUCGGUAUUCCGAGGGGCAUGCCUGUUCGAGCGUCAUUACAACCCUCAAGCUCUGCUUGGUGUUGGGCACCGCCCUUCCGCGGGCGCGCCUCAAAGACCUCGGCGGUGGCGUCUUGCCUCGAGCGUAGUAGAAAACACCUCGCUUUGGAGCGCACGGCGCCGCCCGCCGGACGAACCUUUUGAACUUUCUCAAGGUUGACCUCGGAUCAGGUAGGGAUACCCGCUGAACUUAA
rnacentral:misc_RNA from 1 species